GAUUUGGAGAGUGGAGUCACUGAUAUACUGAGGACACUCAGCUAUGAUUCUCUGUUUCAUCUAAGUCAGAUGAGGCUGUACAAAUACUGAACCAACAUCUGCAUUCAGGAGUAGAUGGAUGAAGGCCAAUACAUUGAAACUGCAUGCUUGGGCCUGGGACAACUUCUCUCCAGUCUCACUGAGGAAAAUGACCCUCAUGCCAUCGGGAUUGGGCCUAGCGAAGUCCCCAAAGCCUCAUCGGGAGUGAGAAUACCCAGCUGGGUUUUGAACUUAUUGCAUCAGAGUCCAGUAGGUCAGCGCAUUAAUCAGGAACUCUGAAAUCCAGUGAGAUACUUUGUUGGGAACAGUUACAGUGUUCUGGCUAAUCUUAACUAUAAUUUUAAAGACAUUAGCUAUUUUAAAAAGCUAUUUCCCAUUCCUCCAAGCUUUAUGUCUGCUUAAAAGUUAUUUUCCAUGUUCCUUCAUAGAUGACUUAGAAUCAACAUGUAUGAAUUUACAUCUUUGGCCUACUUAGCAUAAGAGAAUUAUUUGACUUGUUGUGUUCUUUAUUAUCAUCAUUACUAUUAUUCUAUUUUACAUAUUUAAUGUUAUGUACUAAACAUCUUCCCCUGCAAGCAGUGAUAUGCCCCCCUUACAGUUUUCUUUUAUAACACAUUCAGCAUUUUUCUGAGACAUAAUUAAAACAUCAAACAGUUUUCCUGCUGGUUAUGCUAAAAUCUGCAAACUAGAGUCUGCUGGUUUUAUUGAAAAUUAAAAUAUACUGUUCUUAUGCAUAUUUAGAAUGACCUUAAAAAGUAUUUUUUUUAAAAAAUGAUUUUGUAGACCAUCGUAUAAUACUGCUGUACAAUGUUAAAGUACCUGAAUUAAAGAAUGCCUCUAAUUGGUAGCAGGAGAGUUCUUGUUAAAAUAUAAAAUAUGUAUUUUGUUCACUAUUUUCUCAGGCUUAAUGUGCCUAAUUUUCCCAUGCAACUUUAUCCCUAAGGAAAAAUAAAGAAGGAA
rnacentral:lncRNA from 1 species